rnacentral:rRNA from 1 species
AACGAACGCUGGCGGCAGGCCUAACACAUGCAAGUCGAGCGAGAAGCCACCUUCGGGUGGGGACAGCGGCAGACGGGUGAGUAACACGUGGGAACGUACCCUUUGGUUCGGAACAACUCCGGGAAACUGGAGCUAAUACCGAAUACGCCCUUCGGGGGAAAGAUUUAUCGCCGAUGGAUCGGCCCGCGUCUGAUUAGCUUGUUGGUGGGGUAACGGCCUACCAAGGCGACGAUCAGUAGCUGGUCUGAGAGGAUGAUCAGCCACACUGGGACUGAGACACGGCCCAGACUCCUACGGGAGGCAGCAGUGGGGAAUAUUGGACAAUGGCGCAAGCCUGAUCCAGCCAUGCCGCGUGAGUGAUGACGGCCUUAGGGUUGUAAAGCUCUUUCGGC